UCUACGGGUGGCAGCAGUGGGGAAUAUUGCACAAUGGGCGCAACCCUGAUGCAGCGACGCCGCGUGGGUGAAGGAGUAUUUCGGGAUGUAAAGCCCUAUUAUCAGGGAAGAACAAUGACGGUAUAUGACUAAGAUGCACCGGCUAUAUACGUGCCAGAAGCCGCGGUAAUAUGCAUGGUGCAAGCGUUUUCCGGAUUGACUGGGUGUAAAGGGAGCGCUGGCGGCGCGUCAACUCUGGUGUGAAAGCACGCGGCGCAACCGCGGGACUGCAUGUGGGACUGGCGCGGUGGAGUGCCGGAGGGGUAGGCGGAAUUCGGGGUGUAGCGGUGAAAUGCGUAGAUAUAAGGAGGAACACCAGUGGCGAAGGCGGCCUACUGGACGGUGACUGACGCUGAGGCUCGAAAGCGUGGGGAGCAAACAGGAUUAGAUACCCGUGUAGUC
rnacentral:rRNA from 1 species